rnacentral:rRNA from 1 species
UGGGGAAUAUUGCACAAUGGGCGCAAGCCUGAUGCAGCGACGCCGCGUGAGGGAUGACGGCCUUCGGGUUGUAAACCUCUUUCAGUAGGGAAGAAGCGAAAGUGACGGUACCUGCAGAAGAAGCACCGGCUAACUACGUGCCAGCAGCCGCGGUAAUACGUAGGGUGCGAGCGUUAUCCGGAAUUAUUGGGCGUAAAGAGCUCGUAGGCGGUUUGUCGCGUCUGUCGUGAAAGUCCGGGGCUUAACCCCGGAUCUGCGGUGGGUACGGGCAGACUAGAGUGCAGUAGGGGAGACUGGAAUUCCUGGUGUAGCGGUGGAAUGCGCAGAUAUCAGGAGGAACACCGAUGGCGAAGGCAGGUCUCUGGGCUGUAACUGACGCUGAGGAGCGAAAGCAUGGGGAGCGAACAGGAUUAGAUACCCUGGUA